CCGAUCGGCUGGCUGGUCGGCUGGGCGGCCGCCGGCUGCGACCCGGCGCGCAUGGGCAUCGGUCCCGUGCCGGCCGUGCAGA
rnacentral:tRNA from 1 species